rnacentral:rRNA from 1 species
GAUGAACGCUGGGGCCAGCAUAAAAAAUGCAAGUUGAACGAGGAAACUUAGUAGUCUUCUUGGGAAAGACACUAAGCGGAUGAGUGGUGAACGGGUGAGUAACGCGUGAGUAAGCUGCCUGACACAAGGGGAUAGCCGUUGGAAACGAAGAAUAAUACGCGAUAAAACCAUAAAAGCAGAUGCUAGAAUGGUCAAAGUGAUAGGGGUGUAAGAUGGACUUGCGUCUGAUUAGCUAGUUGGUGAGAUAAAAGCUCACCAAGGCAAAGAUCAGUAGCCGGCUUGGAGGAGUGUACGGCACCCUUGGGACGGGGACACGGCCCAAACUCCUACGGAGGGCAGCAGGGGGGAACUUUGCACAAUGGGGGAAACCCUGAUGCAGCGAGGCCGCGUGAUUUAGAAGGCCUUAGGGUUGUAAAGCUCUUUUGUAUAGGAAGAUAAUGACGGUACUAUCAGAAUAAGCUCCGGCUAAUUACGUG